UACGUAGGGUGCAAGCGUUGUCCGGAAUUAUUGGCGAAGAGCUCGUAGGCGGUCUGUCGCGUCGGCUGUGAAAUCCCGGGGCUCAACCCCGGGCCUGCAGUCGAUACGGGCAGACUAGAGUGCGGUAGGGGAGACUGGAAUUCCUGGUGUAGCGUGAAAUGCGCAGAUAUCAGGAGGAACACCGGUGGCGAAGGCGGCCAACCUGGACGAAUACUGACGCUGAGACACGAAAGCGUGGGG
rnacentral:rRNA from 1 species